AUUAAUAUACUUUCAGGGAUCAUUUCUAUAGUUCGUUACUAGAGAAGUUUCUCUGAUCGUGUAGAGCACCCGAAACCACGAGGAAGACGCAGCGUUUUCCCCUGAGCAUGAAGUUGGCGUUUGGUGCUGCUUAAUGCAGCUGCCAUUGGCCGUUGAUGAUCGUUCUUUUCUCCCGUCUGGGAGAGUAAGAGGGAGAAAACACCGUCUGAGUGGA
ensembl:snoRNA U3 Small nucleolar RNA U3